rnacentral:rRNA from 1 species
UACGUAGGGGGCAAGCGUUGUCCGGAUUUACUGGGCGUAAAGAGUGUGUAGGCGGCGCUCUAAGUUCGGUGUGAAAUCUCUCGGCUUAACUGGGAGGGUGCGCCGGAAACUGGAGUGCUCGAACGUGGGAGAGGAAAGCGGAAUUCCUGGUGUAGCGGUGAAAUGCGUAGAUAUCAGGAGGAACACCUGCGGUGUAGACGGCUUUCUGGACCAUUGUUGACGCUGAGACACGAAAGCGUGGGUAGCAAACAGG